AGACAGUUGAUAUCAAAGAUUUGUCAUGGAAACUUGGAAUCAGAUACAGAAUAUUACAGCAGUAGAGAACAGAUUAUCACAUUUUACUCAUUUCUCAAAAAGUUUUUAUACAGGUUACCCAGGAAUCUAAAUGGUGAGGAAGAAGAAAUUAUACAAAGAAUAGUCACCUUAUUACACAGCGUUGUUAUGUAUGUUGACCGUCUGAGUGAUAUGAAAUAUGACAUCACUCUAUC